UUCUGUGCUGGUGUUGUGUACUCAGGUGAAUAAUAUGAUUGUGAUGUUACUCUGAGUGCAUAUCCACACCGGGCGAGCUUGAAAAAUAUGCCCGGCCACGGUGGGAUUCGAACCUACGACCUUCGGAAUACUAGCCCAAUGCUCUUCCAACUGAGCUACGCGGUCAGGACGGUUCGAGUAAGUGAUAUUUCGGAACAGUAUCUAGUUCCUUC
rnacentral:tRNA from 1 species